CCCUUAGAUGUUCUGGGCCGCACGCGCGCUACACUGACAGAGCCAGCGAGUUCUUUUUCCUUGGCCGAAAGGUCAUGGGUAAUCUUGUGAAACUCUGUCGUGCUGGGGAUAGAGCAUUGCAAUUAUUGCUCUUCAACGAGGAAUUCCUAGUAAGCGUGAGUCAUCAGCUCGCGUUGAUUACGUCCCUGCCCUUUGUACACACCGCCCGUCGCUACUACCGAUUGAAUGGCUUAGUGAGGCCUCCGGAUUGGCUUUGGGGAGCCGGCAACGGCACCUCGUCGCUGAGAAGCUGGUCAAACUUGGUCAUUUAGAGGAAGUAAAAGUCGUAACA
rnacentral:rRNA from 1 species